UGAUGGUGUUAGUGUGGGUAGUUUUCAGAGAGAUUUUGUUUUGUUGAAGGUGAAUAGUUCAAGAAAGUUUAGUCCUGGCUUUAAAGAUUUUAGCUUUACUAAUAUUUCUUUAAGACCUCAUUCUGUAAAUACUCAACAGAAUUUGAAUCGAGAUUUUGCCCGAAAAAAUCUUGCUCCUAAAGUUGAACCUCAACCAGUUAAUUUGACUGGAAA
rnacentral:misc_RNA from 1 species